rnacentral:rRNA from 1 species
CAAGCGGCGGACGGGUGAGUAAUGUCUGGGAAACUGCCUGAUGGAGGGGGAUAACUACUGGAAACGGUAGCUAAUACCGCAUCCCAUCAGAUGUGCCCAGAUGGGAUUAGCGAGUAGGUGGGGUAACGGCUCACCUAGGCGACGAUCCCUCGCUGGUCUGAGAGGAUGACCAGCAAAACGGGAACUGAGACACGGUCCAGACUCCUACGGGAUGAAGCAGUGGGGAAUAUUGAACAAUGGGCGCAAGCCGGAUGCAGCCAUGCCGCGUGUGUGAAGAAGGCCUUCGGGUUGUAAAGCACUUUCAGCGGGGAGGCGUUACCCGCAGAAGAAGCACCGGCUAACGCCGUGCCAGCAGCCGCGGUAAUAC